GACGAACGCUGGCGGCGUGCUUAACACAUGCAAGUCGAACGGAAAGGCCCUGCUUUUGUGGGGUGCUCGAGUGGCGAACGGGUGAGUAACACGUGAGUAACCUGCCCUUGACUUUGGGAUAACUUCAGGAAACUGGGGCUAAUACCGGAUAGGAGCUCCUGCUGCAUGGUGGGGGUUGGAAAGUUUCGGCGGUUGGGGAUGGACUCGCGGCUUAUCAGCUUGUUGGUGGGGUAGUGGCUUACCAAGGCUUUGACGGGUAGCCGGCCUGAGAGGGUGACCGGCCACAUUGGGACUGCGAUACGGCGCAGACUCCUACGGUAGGCAGCAGUGGGGAAUAUUGCACAAUGGGCGGAAGCCUGAUGCAGCAGCGCCGCGUGCGGGAUGACGGCCUUCGGGUUGUAAACCGCUUCCGCCUGUGACGAAGCGUGAGUGACGGUAAUGGGUAAAGAAGCACCGGCUAACUACGUG
rnacentral:rRNA from 1 species